rnacentral:rRNA from 1 species
CCUACGGGUGGCUGCAGUGGGGAAUAUUGGGCAAUGGGCGAAAGCCUGACCCAGCAACGCCGCGUGAGGGAAGAAGGUUUUCGGAUUGUAAACCUCUGUCCCAAGAGAAGAGGGAAAGACGGUAUCUUGGGAGGAAGCCCCGGCUAACUACGUGCCAGCAGCCGCGGUAAUACGUAGGGGGCGAGCGUUGUCCGGAAUGAUUGGGCGUAAAGGGCGCGUAGGCGGCUAUUUAAGUCUGGAGUGAAAGUCCUGCUUUUAAGGUGGGAAUUGCUUUGGAAACUGGAUGGCUUGAGUGCAGGAGAGGUUAUCGGAAUUCCCGGUGUAGCGGUGAAAUGCGUAGAGAUCGGGAGGAACACCAGUGGCGAAGGCGGGUAACUGGACUGCAACUGACGCUGAGGCGCGAAAGUGUGGGGAGCAAACAGGAUUAGAUACCCGGGUAGUC